UACUAAACAGGUUCCACGCAGGGCACCCUGCAAACAAGUUGGUACACUUGAGGCGUCAUCCAGUAUCCCAAAAUCUAGGAAGUCAAGUGGAAUUAAUGCCGCUAAAAAGGUGCGGUUUACCAAGACUAGGUCUUCUC